rnacentral:rRNA from 1 species
AGAGUUUGAUCCUGGCUCAGGAUGAACGCUAGCUACAGGCUUAACACAUGCAAGUCGAGGGGCAGCAUGGUCUUAGCUUGCUAAGACCGAUGGCGACCGGCGCACGGGUGAGUAACGCGUAUCCAACCUCCCCCACAGUAGCGGAUAGCCCGGCGAAAGUCGGAUUAAUACGCUAUGUGGUGCAGUAUUGGCAUCAUGGCCGCACGAAAGAUUUAUCGCUGUGGGAUGGGGAUGCGUCUGAUUAGCUUGUCGGCGGGGUAACGGCCCACCGAGGCGACGAUCAGUAGGGGUUCUGAGAGGAAGGUCCCCCACAUUGGUACUGAGACACGGACCAAACUCCUACGGGAGGCAGCAGUGAGGAAUAUUGGUCAAUGGGCGCGAGCCUGAACCAGCCAAGUAGCGUGCAGGAAGACUGCCCUAUGAGUUGUAAACUGCUUUUAUGCGGGGAUAAAGUGCAGCACGUGUGCUGUUUUGUAGGUACCGCAUGAAUAAGGACCGGCUAAUUCCGUGCCAGCAGCCGCGGUAAUACGGAAGGUCCGGGCGUUAUCCGGAUUUAUUGGGUUUAAAGGGAGCGCAGGCUGAUUAUUAAGCGUGACGUGAAAUGUAGCCGCUCAACGGCUGAACUGCGUCGCGAACUGGUAGUCUUGAGUGAGUUCGAUGUAGGCGGAAUUCGUGGUGUAGCGGUGAAAUGCUUAGAUAUCACGAAGAACUCCGAUUGCGAAGGCAGCCUACAAGGCCUUUACUGACGCUAAAGCUCGAAGGUGCGGGUAUCGAACAGGAUUAGAUACCCUGGUAGUCCGCACGGUAAACAAUGGAAGCCCCCUUGUUGGCGAUACAAUGUCACCGGCCAAGCGAAAUCGUUAAGCAUCCCACCUGGGGAGUACGCCGGCAACGGUGAAACUCAAAGGAAUUGACCGGGGGCCCGCACAAGCGGAGGAACAUGUGGUUUAAUUCGAUGAUACGCGAGGAACCUUACCCGGGCUUGAACUGCAGCUGAACGAUUCAGAGAUGAUGAGGCCCUUCGGGGCAGCUGUGGAGGUGCUGCAUGGUUGUCGUCAGCUCGUGCCGUGAGGUGUCGGCUUAAGUGCCAUAACGAGCGCAACCCCUGUCUUCAGUUGCCAUCAGGUGAAGCUGGGCACUCUGUAGAGACUGCCACCGUAAGGUGUGAGGAAGGUGGGGAUGACGUCAAAUCAGCACGGCCCUUACGUCCGGGGCUACACACGUGUUACAAUGGGUGGUACAGAGAGCAGGCCGUCCGCAAGUGCGGCCGAAUCAUGAAAUCCAUCCUCAGUUCGGAUUGGGGUCUGCAACCCGACCCCAUGAAGCUGGAUUCGCUAGUAAUCGCGCAUCAGCCAUGGCGCGGUGAAUACGUUCCCGGGCCUUGCACUCACCGCCCGUCA